AAAAAAAGACAGCUGUCCAUGUACACGUAGUUCACCUAAUUAUGUUUGCAGAGAAUAUAAAAAGCCUGUUGUGGGUUCUUUUUUUUUCUAUUUAUGGGUUCAUCUGUUUCCUUGUGUAUAUCAACAAGGAUUCGUCAUUCGUGUAAGUUGGCGAAGAUAUUUUCUUCUCUCUCCACAUUACGACGCUUUUGAUAAUCCAGGCGUACAGCACCUUUCGGUUCCAAGAGGAGGGAAAAGAAAAGACCAGAGCCAGACCAGAUCCGUCUCCAUACGCCCUCCUUUCCACUGCUUAAUUCGUUGGCUUCGUCUUCACUUUCAUGACGAAUCCUUUUUUAUGUCCGUCGAGUUGCUUUGUUUUGAGAACUUUCAUGGCGAUAUCUCUCGCUGCAUGUUGAUAGCUGUGUUAAGGCUUUACUCUUUGUUCUUGAUUCUCUACCCUUUUUUCUGUUCUGAUAUAUAGUUUUCCAAUGAUUUUUAGGAAUUGAUUAGGUCAAUGGCUUCUGAAGCUUAUUCUUUGAGGAAGUGCUUAGUUAUAUGCUUUUUAUGUUUCUUCGCGCUUCUUUAUUUGUAAGUUUUUAGUUAUUGUCAUAAUUUGUUUUACUUUCUGAAUAUAAGUUCACGUAUAGUUUUAUCGUCUAGGUUGCUUGAUUUUCUUCUUCUACGGUGUCCUGAGCUUGACAUGUUUUCGUCACUAACCGCGUUGAAUUAAUGGCACUGCGUAUUAUUGCAAUCUGAUGACUCUCUGUUUGCUAGUGUAUACUUUUUUAUUUAUUUGUUUUUCUUAUCUAUUUAAAUCUUUCUUUCGGAAAGAGUACUGUAGUGUACUAUGCCUCUCUUUUACUGCCACUGGAAUUGCACCCAAGAAACUAAAAAUUAUCACUAAAAAUUUUUGUUUUCUUGAUUUUGUUAAUGCUGGUAUUUCUUAAUUAAUGGAGGAGAAAUGCGUUUUAUUUUUUAUUUUUUGUGGAUUGAGGCCGUUGGCCUUAGCCGUUAGAUAGUCAACUCGCAGUGAAUUAGGGCUUUGCUCUAUGAAAAACAGAUUAUAUGGUUAAAUUGUCAAGGGGUAGUAGUAGUGCUGAUAUGAUGAAAAUGAGUUGGAAUUUAGCGAGAAUAUUUUUGGACUAGUGAAAAAAAAAGAGCAAGAAUGCUGAUUAUGUUUUCAAAUGAUGAAAAUAUACAUUUAAGAAGGGGAAUUGCUGUCUAAAAGACCUGCUAUCAGGAUUCAUCUUGUUAGACCAUAAUGUUUUCUUUCUCGUGUGCUUUUGCUUAAUGGAGGUUAAAUCAAAAUUGCUAGUCUAUGAUUCUUCUCUUUGUAUACGAGGUAGCUUUAAUUGUGUUAGGUUGUUGUUAGUUAGCCAUAUUGUAUUGGAAACUAAUUUUAAUUAGGUUUGUACAAUGUUAUUAUUGCAGUACCAAUUCUUGUAGUUGUUAACUGAAUUUCUUAUCCAUAUUAAUUGUGAAUAUUUCUUGCUAAAGCUUUUUCUCCGAGUUAUUUUGAAUUGCUACCGUCUUUAAAGUUACAAAAAGAUGGUGUUAUCGUUAGCAUUUUAGAUUCCAAUUAAAGGAAAAUGACUGUUGUUGGUGUUUUUUUUCUUUGGAUAAGUAGUCAUUGUUAGUGAGUUAUGUUUUAUCAUCGUGCUGAUGUUGCACUCUGUAGAGGGGGUAAUAAAUUUGUAUUGGUUGAUUUUAUUUUGGUAUGUUAACAUUUGAGGCGAACAUUAAUAUAGUUUGAUUGAUUAACUCUAAGUUAUGCGAUCAGUAGCAAACUAUACAUGUCUGCAUUGUUUGUACUUGGGGUUCUGGUGUAAGGAAAGGUGUGUUUCUGUAACAAAUACAUUCAGUGUGGUAUGGAUGGGCAGUGCUGUGCGGUGGGUUUAGCUUACUUUUUGUCUUAGGCUAUAGUAUCGUUAUAAUAUUUAAUCUCACCGCCACUGUUGUUUUUACACUAAUCGCAGAUAAACGCACCACCCAUUCAAACCCAUCCUCAAUCUUCUUAAAAUUUUACUUUUACUUGGAGGGCUAUUGACAUCCAUGAAAUCUUUGAGUUGUCCACUACAGGUGUUUUAGGUUACAACUUUACUUGUAUUGUUAAGGUUAAUAUUACAUAUAUAUAUUGUUAUUGUUUUUUGGAAUAAAAAGCAUAUUGUUUCUUCCUGAAAUUGAAUGAUAAAUUAAUAGAUAGCUUUGUUUUUCAUCCUGUAUUUUGUGUCGAAAAUAACUUCAUUGUUAGCUAAAAUUGAAAUCCUACAAUUCUCACAACAGCUUGUGCCCUAUUUGUCUAUUCCUUAUCACUUAAAGAAAACUGGAUUGAACUCUACUGAUAUAUUUAUGUAUUUUUUAAGAAAGUUCUCUUGGAUCGUAUAAAUCCUAGAAGGUUAGAUUAUUUGUCUCAAAUAUGAUUAAAUAAUAUGACUUCUAUAAAAAAAUUGUGCAAACAAUUGCAACAUGAUGUACUAGGAAAUUCUUAAUACUUGGUUACAUGUUUAAUUGAAAAUUCUAGUUUGUGCUAUUUCUUUGGGCUGAAAUUUGAUUAAUUUCAAGAAGCAGCUUCAACAAAAAACAAGAAGGUUUACCUAGAGAGUGAAUAAAUUAUGGUACUUCAGGAAUUGUGGGUCAAUAGAUUCAAAAGGAACCCCAUGCUGAAAUUUUGCAUGGACUUUUCACAGUUACCUUACAAGGUGGUGGAAAGGUUAUUCACAGUUGUAUUUCUUGGGAUGCAGUACUCAAUAAGCUUGAUUCCUUAUUAAAUUUUGAAUAUGAGGGUUUUGGGAGUCUUCGUCCAAGUCACAUGCUACUUAUUUGAAUUUAAAGAACAUUUUGCAAAAUACUUAUUAAUUCAAUAUUUGUGUGCCUUUGUCCAAGUGCGCAUAUAAAACCCAGUAGUUUUGCGUCACUAUCUGGUUAAAUGGGGCAAUUAUAAUGAUGGUUGCCUGGCGAGUAAUUUGGGUUUGUCUCAAGUCAAGCUUUACUUGUUCAUUUCUGUUCCUGGACUCUUUGAUUGUAGCUUUAGUUGUUUGUAUAUAACACAGAUAUUUUUAGGUUUUUGAGUUGAUAGGGAGAGCUCAAAGUUAGCUUAGAGGUAUUGUCAGUUGUAAAGUGCAAAUCCGGUGUGGAGGUUCAAAGCUAAACCUUGUAAAAUAUCCAAUUGAAUUAAGAGGAUUCUGUGCUCUGGAAAUUUGGGUGUAUGGUAGAUACAGGCUUUUAGUUAUUUUCAUUAUGUUAUUCAUCAAGUUAAGUUGAAUAUCUCACAACUCUUAAUAGUUGAAAAACUAAAUUUGUAAGGUCAUUUAUGAACUACCAAUAUUCCAAUUGCAGGCAAGCACAUACGAAGUGGUUAUAAAGUUUUAAUAGAUGGAGUUCAAAUAUUUCGCUUAAUUAUGCCAUUGUACCUGGUACUUGGAAGAUUACUUAGAAUGGUAACUUUAAAUUCCUUUUCAUAUUUGCUUUCUGGAAAUUGUUGAAAGAGGGUCACUUUGCAUGCUAUUGAAGAUGGCAAGUUGUUGAAUGGAUAUACAUGCCGCCAGAUCUUAUCCUCAUGCAUUUAAUGCAGCAACAGACAUGAGUAUUGCUUAAAUUUCUCCUCACGAUGUGAGCUCAAAUGUCAUGUUUAUCAUUGCCAUAUAUCCUUGUGAUUUAUUAUUAAAGAUGAUUCAGGUUGCAGUUCAAGAUUUUGAGUAUUGCUUAUAUUACUUGAUGCUCUAAGGACCUGACUUCUUGCCUGCCAACAUUCCACUUCAGGCACUUAUAACUACUGUAUGUAUGUUUUUCCAAAGAUGCAUCGUGUUCAGGAGACGAAUGCUUUACCUUAAAUUAUUGAAAGUUGAAAGUUUCCUAGAUUACAAGACUUCUGACUUUUUUUUUUUUUUUUUUGUGCAACUAGAAAAGGCUUGUCUCUACCCUGAGCAUGAGACCUGUUCUUUACCUGGCUGCUGGUAUUAAUUAUAGCGCUAAAAUACUCCUAGCUGUAUGGUUAAAACUUUGUUCCCUGACUCCCUGGUUCCCUAUAUUUAUACUCUUGCAGUUUAAUUAUAUCAAGUGGUAUGAUUAUUUCUUUUAUCAUAAAUGUAUGCAUGAAUGCCUGCAGUUGACUACAAUAUCUUUUGCAUUCUAUGUAAUUAUAUCACCUUUAAUCACGGCAUUCAUCGUAUAAUUAUUUCAUUUCAAGUCGUUGUUUCUCCAUUGUGGUCAAUACAAUUACUGAGGAAGAGGUAAUGAGUUGUACGAAGUACUCUGCUGGAAAGGUGGCUAUAUAUUCAAGGUAGUGUGCCUAGAAAUUUUUGGCCUGUCUAGAGCAGUUACUAAGGCAUGCUUUUAGUGAUGCAGUGAACUGUCAAAGUUCUUUCUAAUUAUGAAAUUAAGUCGCUUGUUAUGUUGUUGGUGCCCUACUAAUUAUUUAUAUUUAAUAUGUAGUUCAUUUGAACCUCCCUGCCUCUCCUUUUUCCAGCCUCAAGUUUUCUUUUAUCAGUAAGAUCGAGCUAUCAGAAGAAAGUAAAAUCAAUCUGAGAAUUUUUUUAUUGGAUAACACAAGUAGUACAAUUGCAAUUUUUCACUUGGUAAAUCAAUACUGUUGAACAAAUAAGUUCUCGAGGCAGCUGACCAUAGAGUAACAUCAGACACAAACAGUGCAUUCUAAUUAUUUCAUAAAUUUACAUCGGAUAAUGUGUCCCUGUUAAUUACAGAAACCUAAAGAUUGUUUAAUUAUAUAUUUCAUAUAUAUUUUUUAAUUUUUAUUUUAUGCUGAAAAUACUUUAUCUAAUAGCUGGAAUAUCAAGGCUCACUUGUAGAAGCCUCAAAUUUCAACUGCAGGCAAGUUGUUGAUAGGGUAAUGAUGUGAUGUCCAUCCAUGGUUGUCCGACCUGCUUGCUAAUGCAGUUGUAAUCUGUUGGAAAUUUAAGAAGUUAGUUUUAGGAUUGAUAUUGAAAUAAUUUGCUUUCUUACAUGGCUUUAUUUCCUGUAGCUUUGAAAAUUGUAAUGAAUGGAAGAAUUACCCCAACUUCAUUGGUUUUUCUGGUGCAUCAUUCUUCUGAGGUAGGGGCUGGCUUAACUGGAGAUGAACAGGUGCAUGGAGAUCAUAUCCAUUGUUGAAAGUAUAAUUUGGGGGAGAGCUUCUGCUAGCUUCAUUUGCUUGCCUUGUACCAUAAACCUUAGACCGAAAAUUUGUGUUGUUUAGGAGUAUUAGGAAGAAAAUCUUCAUUUGCUUAGAAUUUAAGAUUAUUUCAUGGGCCUUCGGCAUAUUGGCAUUAGUUUUUUGGAAUUUUGUUCUAUUACUUUCAUGAGAACCAAGGAAAUAAGUUAUAGAGGAAGCAUAAUUCAUAGGUGAAUGUGAGAUAUUCUUAGCAAUAUUGAAUUAUCUAGGCCAAUACCUUCUUUUGAAGCUCAGUGUUUUCUUGGCACAUGAGGUCUAACUUUUUAUGCAGUUCUAGAUUUUCCUGAUGAAUGAGGUGCCCCUGCAAUUCAAUAAUUGAAUGUUACUCAGCAAGAAAAUAUCUAACAAUGAAAACCUGAAUAAAAAUGCAGAAGAACUUAAUAUAAAACCUUGUUGUUUAGCUCUUUGACUUCAUCUGUUAGAAUUUGGUCCUGUAAGCAGAGAAUAGUAGAGGAGCAACUGCAUAAAUAUUAUCUUCUUAUCUUGAAUAUUUUUGGUGAAAGUUUCAUCCAAUUCUAAUGUUUGUCAUACCUUUUUCAUGCGGACACCUUUCAAACUCAUUUCAAGUUGGUUUUCCAGGUUCUGCAGAUCAUUGAUACUUAAACCAGAUAGUUCUUCUCCCAUCAAUUGCCUGCAGCACGUCAUAACUAUGUAAGCUAUUGCUUAUCACAUGGUAUGUACAUCCCACUAUAUUAUAUUUUAAAGGUUCUUAUCAACCAUCAACAGUUUCCUGAUAGUACAUUGUUAUGAAGAAUAUUUGAAGUGAUCUUUACCAUUUCCAAUAUCAUGUUAUGCAUAUCAUACUAUAUAUACUAGCAUUUUGUGAAACCCUAUAACAAGAGUUGUUGAUUUUUUGUUUUAUGCUCUCUAGUCCAUAAAAUUCCCUUGUUUUACUGGUUUGUUUAUAAAAUUAUACGUGAGAUUUGUAUUAUAGGAUGCCUGGAUCACUAGUGACGAUGAGAAUUGGAUAUGGUUUCAGGAGUUUUGGUUUUGCUUAAGUUGGUUUUUUUCUUAUAUUAAUUGAUGAAGAAAAUUAUUAUCCAUGUUCAUACUAAAGUUUAAGGAUAGUUCUGUUGAAGUAGGUAGAGAAGAUGAUUUAGAUGUAUGUGUGAUGGGCACGAUCAUGAAGAAGAAGGACAUGUAUAAUUAAAAAAUAGUGACUUAUAUAUUUGUUUAUGAAAAUAUUGUCUUAAAGGUCAAAUUGCUUGUUGACUUUACAGCAUUCUAGUAUGAACAAUGAAAUUUUGAUAGUUCACCAGAAGUUGGAACAAUUUGUUUAACAAAUUACAAUUGCUAAAAGAUGAUUAUAUCUUUAAAAUAUGUUUAAGUAAACCGAAAUCUAAACCCUAAUCACUCUGUUUAUGUUAUAGAAGUACUUUAAAAAUUUUAACUCCAUACCUUGCUCCAUUAAAAUUGACAAAAAUAUUAAAAUACUUAUCACAUCAUUGUAACUAUUGAAAAUAAUAAACUUUACUAUUACAAUAAAACAUGACUGAAAUAUAGUAGGUUAUGAGAUGGAAUUUUAAAUGAAAUUUGAGUUUAAUGAGAUUAGACUCUUUAAAGCUUUGAAAAUCUACAAAGCAACAAAAAGUGGGUCAAAAAGUUGUCUUCUACCUCAUUUGGCUUUCUAUCCAAAGAAAUAAUAGGAAACACAACAAAAGUAAAUGAUGAAGCAACAGGUAAUAAAGAUAAAGGAGGAAACAAAGAUAAAGGAGGAAACGAAUCAAGUAAAGAGCAUUGACAAUUGACUUUAUGAAAGAAUUGCCAAAGAAACAAGGGGUUGGAGCACCAUUUUCUUCUUUAAGUACAAAAUAAUUUGAUAUAGAAAUUAACCAAAGAAUGUUUUGAAGAAAAAUGUUGAUUUUGAGGGGAGAUUCUAGAGUGAUUGAUUGUGUGGUUAUAUACAUGUAGAAAAAACAUAAUUUAGCAUUGACAAUUAAACAUUUCAUUAGGCUUCCAAACUAAAAAAAGCUACAAAGAACAUUUUUAGUGAAUUAUAUUUAAGUAGAAAUAUUAUAUAUAUUAAUUUGCCACCUUUAAACAUAAAUCUUGGAUCCAUCUUGUUUUUCCUUGGUACUUUUCCCAUUAACAUGGACAAACAUAAUUGUUAUUCUCCAAAACGUAGUUUUGGAAAUAAUGUAGUUAAUGCAUUUGUUACUACAAAAAAAAUUGAGGCAUGAUUUUUUUUCUUGGUAGAUAGAAAUUACAAAUUCCUUGCAUUAAAUUCACAAGUCUAAAGAUUCUUAAAGAAAGCUUUAGUGUGAUGAAAUGGAGGCCUUUAGUACCUGUGGUAUUCUUGCAAGUACUGUAGUUGCUGCCUCAAGCUUGCUACCUCCCUUUGCCAAAACUAUAAAGUACAAAAGCAAUUAUUAAGUAAGAGUGAAACUUUUGAAUGUGAAGUCUUUUGUAUUAAACUAAUAUCAAGUGAUCUAAAAUUGAAGUACAUGUCGAAGAACUUGGGUGAUUAGUCUCUAUUCAAUGACAAUAUAAUGUCAACUACUUAUGAGUACCUUUUAGUUACUUUGCCUCAACUCACCUUGUUGAGUUCACAUAUUUUGUGAUUGGAGUGAAUCAAAGUGAUUUAUUGCUCAAAUUGAAGCUAUCUACAAGCUUAAUCUAGCAUCUGAUAUUUCACAUAUUGUGUUAAAAGGCUCUCUCUAUAGUUUGAGCUAGAUUCUUCUUUCUUGCUUUAUUGCUGUCUUAAUAUGAAGUUGUUUCCUUCAACCUAUCAUUUUAUUUUGAAUGCUUAACAGGGUAUCAAAGCUCAGGUUAUGUUGUGUUACUCUUUUCUACCCCAUGUGAUGUUAAUGACCUUCAUCAUGAUGCUCAGUGUAGGCUUUGUUGAGCUAAAUGUGAGAGGGAGUCUUAUGUGGUGUUACCCCCACACAUCUAUUAGGCUUGGGUUCACAAUGAUGUUUAUUAAAGGCGCUCGCUUUUCAAUUAUCACCAAUUUUUUUUAUGCAAGGAUGCUUAACAAAACCAAUGUCUAUGUAACUUUGUGUUCUGCAGGAAGAUUUUAUGGAAGGGAGAAAAAGGAAUAGAAGAGAUGAUAAUGGAAGGAUUUGUCGUAUGGUAGAUUCUUUUUGAAAAUUUUUUAAUAUUAUUAUCUAAUUGAAUUAGUGGUUUCUAGGAUUGGAUUUUGAGAGAAUGAAAGGACUCAAAUGCUCUUAUUUUCCACCUUAAUCAUUUCAUUCCACCUUUCUACCGUUUUUUUCCUCUUCCUGAAGAAAACGCUUUUUGAACCCAAAACCAAUUAGUGAUAGGUGGAAAGGACCUAAAUUUGAUAUAAGACUUUAUACUUAAUAGAUUUGGGAUAAUAUCACUUAAUGUUCCCUUUCACAUGUAGCUCUUAGGGCUUGCACAUGGAAAACCUCAUGAGAGGUCAACUAUCGCACAUGGUGUUAGCUACAAAGGAUAACAUGAUAAAACUUGAGUUCUAAUAUCAUAUUAAGCAUAUAACUUAAAAAUCAAUUAAUAUUUUAAAGUUGGAUAACACCAUUUAAUAAUCAUACAUGCUAUUUUGUAGCUUAACCAUUAGAGCUUAGAUCCUUUCUAUUCCUUUCUCCUUUUUAAUCUUCUUACCAAAUGGUGUGCUAAAGAAACAAUUUAUGAUAUCCUCAAACUACUUGGUUCUUUAGAUUGCAAUUAGAUGGAGUGCAUAUUUUUGUUGUAGUGCUAGUAGAGUUUUCUUUUAAAUGUAACUAUUGAUAUUGGGAUGAGUUAUAUUUUUUGGAUAUUGUCAAUGUAUGGUGGUUUAUUACUAAAAAAUUGCUUUCAAAUAGAGUUGAUAUUUUACAAGUCAUGUCCUUAAGAUUAAGCUUGUUAGAAUAUAAUAUUUUCAUGGUUGUAUGGUGAACUCAAAGUAAUAAAUCCUUAUAUUUGCCUGAGGUAUCAUAAAAGUGGUUGGCUGUAUGAAGGGACAAUAUUUACACUUGUUUUUGUGUUGUAUUAUUACGAUUAUAACUUUAGAGUGGUUUUGUUUAUCUACAAAACAUGCAAACUUUCCUUUGUUGGGCCAAAUGUCAUGUAUUCCUUAUGAUUCAAUUUUUUUUUAUGGUACCUACCUAUCUCCUUUCUUACUAGUAAAGUCAUAUGGACCUUUGAAGAACCAUACCUCAAAAGCUAACUGUUGAGUUUGGAGACCUAGGUCCAUAUAAAAUGCAAGAGGGAAUCCCAUACUUUUUUAUGUGGCAUCCUAGUCUAGUGACUUGCAUAUGGGCACAUAUUAGUAAUCGUGCUCACCAAUUUGGAUGUCCAGACAACAAUGCCGACAUCGAGCCUUUUUUGGUGCGGCUCAAUUGCCUUGUGCACUUAGGCACGUUUCUUGUAAGGUGAUAAGAUAGGCAUAAAAACUCGCUUGGUUGAGGUUCUCUCUAAUUUCUUUUGUUUCUCACUUUUUUAAUUAGUUAUAUCUUUUACUAACAAGAAAUGAAUAGUAUCUAACUCCAUAUUUUUCAAUAUUUGAGUAUUCAAAUAUUGGUACGGACCAAAAAAUGACCAAUAAAAAAUUGCAUGUUUUAGAGAUAGAUGAAACCACACUUUAGAGUUUGGUAUAUGUCUUAAGCUUUACUUAAUACACAAAAUCUCACAUAUAUGCCUAUUGCACACUUAACUUGGGCUAGCGAGAUUUUUGUGGCUUGUGCCUGAGACAAUAUAAGGGAUUUAGUGCUUAAGAGUUUCGUCCUUGAUAUCAUUGCCACAUCACCACCCUUGUUAUGGCUGAUUUUGAUACCAAUUGAUAUGAACCUUUGGGUAAUCGAACUUGAAAAGCAAGCUAUUGAGUCUGGAGAGCUUACAUCUAUAUAAGCCCCAUAAUGAAAUCCCAUAUUUUCCUAUUUGGGAUCCUCGUACAUACUUUGCUAUUUGGCACAUAUUAUAAAGGCAAAGGUAAUCAAAAACUGUUACGAACAAAAUAAAUUAAAAGAGAAUUUCAAUCAGGUGGGCCUUUUUUUACGCCUAUUGUUUUACGAAAAAGCUUGCCUAGAUGCACCAGGCGCACACUUCGUCAAAUGCACCUCACCCAAAGGAGUCCAAAACACUCUUAUUGUCUAGCAUUAAGGCACUACACAUAGGAUUAUUACAUUGUAAAGAACUUGAUAACAUUAUUACAUUGUAAAGAACUUGAUACUCUACACUUGAUGUUGGGAUUAGACAAUGGCUUUGCCCCAGUUGCUAAGGUCCAUGCAAUGAGCCCCUAAAGAAAGGGAUAUUGUUGGUUUUCCAUUCAAGUCUUUCAUAGCAUUGUUUCUUUAGAAGGUAAGGGCUCUUUCUUUUGCGUGGCUGGAGGGGAUUUGUUGUAAUUAUUGGUAAUUGCAUUCCAUUUAUCUGUUGAUAAUUAAAAAUGGUCAAAAAGGUUGUUAGCAUGUACUAGCUUAUAGAGUGGCUCUUGAAAAAUAAUAUAGGUUUUUACUUUCAUGAUGCUUACAUCACAGGGAGAGCAAUGGACCAAAGGGGACUAAGAACAUGAAAUUGAUAUGGAUAGCUUAUUGGAGACAUCUUCAAAUGUUAUUUGGGGGGAAUUUAUUUCUCAAAGGGUCAGAAAGUUAUCUGUCCUUACAAGUUGUUGAAGUCACACUCCUUCCAGUUUUUUAUGCUUAAGAGUGUGGUCAACCUUGGUGCAUUCUGAGCAGAACAUAUGUUCCUUUCAUGAUAUUUGUAGAUAAAUAGAUAUCAUCUGUGUCUAUUUAUAUUGCAAUGCAUUAUCCCUAAUUUCCAGAAUUUUCAUGCAACUUUAGGUCUAUGUGCUGGAUUGGCAUCUUUUGAGAUUUGCAUAUCGAUGCCUUUCUCCCUCUCGUUUGUCUGUAAGUUGUCUAUUCAAUUUUGUACCUGACCGUGAAUGUGGACAUGCAACUUUUUAAGCUUGAGAGUAAAACAUUAAUUCACCACACAGAAGUACAUGGGUCAGAAAUCAACCCUAGAUGUUGUGGCUAAUUUUCCUAAUCAACUCUGUGUGUGCUUAUGGGCAAAAAGAAAAAAAAAAGUGUGCUGGUGAAUACUAAUUUUUUCAUGAACAUUGAGGGAACCUACCCUUCAGCUAGAAAUUUAUAAAGAACAUCAAUAUUUGCGUGUUAAGGGAAUAGACUUCCAAUAUACCUAAAUCUUGGAGGCCCCUGAAACUCAUGAUACCAGGCAUGUCUCAUGAAAUGAUGCUGUUCUAUUUCAGAAAAACAACCAGUGAUAAACUAAGUGCAUGCAAAUGCAUUUCUGUGUGUAGACAUUGAUCUGAAAAACGAAUGUCCUGUUGUGAAGUUGUUCAUGCCUUCACAAAUUCGACUUUAGGCUGGAAAUGAUAUACUUGAUCUAGUAAUGCUGAACUAGUGAACAUAACUACUGUCUCUUGGAAGCGUGUACUAACCUACUUGAGGUAGCAAAUGGUGGAUGUUGCUCAAUGCAUGAUAGGAUUAUUGCUCUACAGUUUGAACAGAGGGUGGCAUCUUACAGUUAGGAAACACAGUUGUUGGGUAGAAGUAAUAGCGUUGGAGUCUUAUCGAACCCAAACCUGCAGAUGCAGUGGAAAGAAAACCAGUUAUAAGUGACUCUGGACAGUAGAGGUUAUGAUGUUUGAAUUGUAAUGUCACUUCAGUAGUUUGUUAAGAAUGCUUAUUUUCUGUCAACCGUCCAAAUGCUUGAAGCAUCGAGUUGGUGGUUGAUGUAAUUUUUACCUUUCGAUUCUGUAUGUGUGCAACAGCUGUCUGGGAGAUUUAAGGCUGAAUGUCUACCAUUGGCAAAAUCGUUGAUGACAUUUCAAUGAGUAGGCCUGAUACUAUCGUAGAGGCUUUAAGAGUGUGCUUCCAGGGUUUAACCUUAUAAAGCUUUUGUUCAUAUGGUUUCUAAAAUCUCCUUAGUUACCUUCGACUUACAAGGAAUACCGUGAUGUUUUGUGCUGAAAGGGACAUACCAUGAUGGUUUUCAUUUAUCAUGAUAUAGAAGUGCUAGAAGCUUGUUUGAGAUGUUUUUAUGGCAUCACUGAGCAUUAUGAUUGGCUUGGAUACAGUGCUCCUUUCCAUUGAUUCAUCUGUUGGUGCAGAUGUUGGAAGGAAUCCUUUAUGCUCCACAAGGAGUAACAGGAGCCCUGUGAACCAUUUAUGUAAUACAUCUUGCUAUGAACUUGGUAAGCUUGAGCUUAACAUGAUUUAAGUACCCUUAAAAGAUCUCUGUGAUUCUUCUAAAAGUUCUGUUCUAUUCUAAUAUGUUGACACUGCUUCAACCAAUAUAUUGAGCUUUACUAUUUUUUAGAAAUAGAUAUGUUAAUGAUUUUUCAACCCACUCUAUUAGGAAGCUUAAGUUGCAUUACUCUAUAGUCUAUACGCUUGUUAGGUCAAAUAAAAGAAAAUUUUAUUUUGGAAGAUUUAUGUAUGUUGAAUGGCAUGCUACUUACAUAGCAUUAGCCCUAGGCCCUGCCUUGUUGCUAGCGGAUUCUUAUGCUCUAGAGGUAGGGAUUUCUUAUUCUUUGCGGUGCAGCAGCCACCUAUGUCUUUUGUGGAAACUGUGAAGCUGAUUACUGAUGGAGAUCCUGUACUAUAUGAAAAGUAGAACCACGAUGCAAUUUCCCAUUGUUUGUUUGCACAACUUUCGAUUGUAUGGCCCUUUCCUUCUCUUCACCGUCACUUGAAGAUGAACAAAGCAAAGCCAGGUCCUUUUCCUGCUCAUCAUUCUUUUUGAUAAUGGUCCUCGUUUCAAAACAAAGUUGAAGAUAGUAAACAUGAUAAGAGCACGGUUUCUGUUUUUUGCUUUGUGGUUCAUCCAAAUUAUGCCCUAUCUUUAUAGUUUUAUAUCAUGUUAUUUAUUCCUUACUAAGAAAGUUUGGGACCUCACCUAGAUUGAGAACAAUGCUGUUGAAGGAGGAAGUCAUGAUAUAAAAGAUCGACUCGUGCUGCUUAUCAAGGCAUUGAUUUACUAUUUAUAUCAAGUCAUGAAAUAAAAACAUCAUCUUUCUGGGAUACUUACAUUUCUUGAACUUGUUAUCAAGAGAGUGAUCCGUUUGGUCAAUUGUUAGUUUGGGGGAAAAAAAUUAUUCUAUGUUUGCCUGGAUUGAUGAUGCUUAUACCUUCAGCAGCCAUGUUUGUCUUCUAUCCUAGUCUUUUAUCUUUAUUUAUUUCUAAUGGAACUUUUAAAUUUUAUGUUUGCGGUUAAUUAA